UACAGAGGGUGCAAGCGUUGUUCGGAAUUAUUGGGCGUAAAGCGCGUGUAGGCGGCUCGGAUAGUCGGGUGUGAAAGCCCUGGGCUCAACCCAGGAAGUGCACUCGAUACUGCCGAGCUGGAGUCCCGGAGAGGAUGGCGGAAUUCUCGGUGUAGAGGUGAAAUUCGUAGAUAUCGAGAGGAACACCUGUGGCGAAGGCGGCCUUCUGGACGGUGACUGACGCUGAGACGCGAAAGCGUGGGGAGCAAACAGG
rnacentral:rRNA from 1 species